rnacentral:rRNA from 1 species
GGUCUAGCUGCGGCGGUGGGGAGAGAUUGGGAUCGGAAGGACAGUGGCCGCCGCCGCGGGAGGGAGGGAGCGGGAGAGGAGGAGGAGAGGAGUGCCGGCGGAGGUGGUGCGGUGUUUGGGGCUGCUGGGUGGGGCAGAGACACGGGCGGAGCCGUUGGUGGAGGCAGCGCGCAGACUCAGGGUAGGCACAGGCGCGGCCGAGGCAGAGACAGAGGAAAGCACCCUCCACUAGGCGUGGGCCUGGGCGCCGCCCCGUCCCCACCGCUGCCGGAGCACAUCUAGGGUAGGACUAGGGCAUCGUCGGUCACAUCGGCGGGGGUGGACGAGAGGAGACGAGGCCCUAGGUAGGUAGGUGAUCCCAAGACGCCGGCUGGCCUCAGGUCCGGUACCGCGCCUUCUACGAGUUCCUGCCCCUCCGCGGGCGGUAGCGCCUGCCGCCGCUCCUCUCGAUGCUGAUGCUGGAGAAACAGUAGCCGCGGCCGUCGCCACAGGAGGCGCCGAGGGCGUGGCGGCGCCCUAAGCCUCGGUUCCAACGCUAGACGCUCGAGGGCAAGGUGGGGUAGUUGAGCCUAACCGACCCUCCUGUGCCGCCUUGCAUUCGUGUUAGGACUUAAUGAAGGAAGAGACGCAAAAACAACGACGUUAAUACGAGACUUAGAUAGAUACACACGAGCGACGUAGAUCCACGCACUAUGUACCGACAGAAAGCUUCUUCUAUGACCACGUAGUUUCAAUAUCAGACGUGGUACAACGACCUUUUUCAAAGCCCACGUCCUGCGGUUCUUAAAGCCCACCCUCUAGUUACCGCUGUAGUUGAUGUUGACCUUUUUCAACGACCUUUUGUUCGACCUCGCCUAGCAGCCUUACAGCAGACACGCCUCCGAUUAAAGAAGGCUGUUCCUAUACAAACAGAAGACGAGUGGUACGCGUACUCGCACACUGCCGGAACGGCUGAUCAUCUUAAAACCUUGUACUCGACUUUUAGGCGACAACUGAUCAGAUCGACUUUCACGCACAUGGACUUCAACGCCAUCGACUAAUAAUGGAACAUCUCCCAAUUACGAAGGUUUAAAAAAUCGUAGCUAGAACUCGUAGAGAACCAAGAUGCCUCGAAUCAGCAACACGGUUUUCAGUGGUCAAACCUUAAGACCCUUUUCUAAGUUGACGGAAAAAAAUCGUAGCUGGAACAGAAUAACUAAUCUAUCUAUGUCAACCACGUCGUCUAACUUUUUGGAGCUUUGCUUUCGAAAGACUAGGGAUCCCUUCUGCCAGUUUAACCUUCUUUUAGGUGUCUGACUGCUUGGGUAACGGACGUAGGACAUCUUCAUAUUCUAUUGGUUUUCAAGUCGUUUUAUUUCAGAGGUGUGAGUGGCGGCAAAGUGAGACAAGGAACGAAGGAUUUGGACGUGGACAUCAUCGAAUAACAAUAGGACCAACAAAACAACGAUAGUUAUAAUCAGGGUACAAAACAAAGGAACGUACGAAUGAUGAUGUUAGAUAUGAUGACGAUAACAGUAUAGAUGAAGAACACCAAGGGAGUUUAAUACAUAUAGACGAUAACAGUAUAGAGAUAAGUGUACAUAUUAGUUUGUAGAAACAUGAUGACGACAACAACAUACCGUUUGUGGGCUCCGUUUAGUAUAAACACUACGUCAAAGACAUUGAACCGUAAAGAUGUACCGAACAAAUAUAACCGUUAAUAUGUGACUACUACUACAAAUGGACGUAACGAAUUAAAACAAAUAGAACUAGAACUGCCUUUUUUGUAGUGUACAAAGAAAAGUUCUUGUAUGACAGAUU